GAAAUGCGAUAAGUAGUGUGAAUUGCAGAAUUCAGUGAAUCAUCGAAUCUUUGAACGCACAUUGCGCCCCUUGGUAUUCCAUGGGGCAUGCCUGUUCGAGCGUCAUUUGUACCCUCAAGCUUUGCUUGGUGUUGGGCGUCUUGUCGGAAUAUCCGACUCGCCUUAAAUACAUUGGCAGUCGGCACUUUGGCCUAGGAGCGCAGCACAUUUUGCGAUCGUAAGCCGUUGUGACAGCAUCCAUAAGAUUUAUUUUACCACGUUUGACCUCGGAUCAGGUAGGGAUACCCGCUGAACUUAAGC
rnacentral:misc_RNA from 1 species